rnacentral:rRNA from 1 species
UACGUAGGGUGCGAGCGUUGUCCGGAAUUAUUGGGCGUAAAGGGCUCGUAGGCGGUUUGUCGCGUCGGGAGUGAAAUCCACUGGCUUAACUGGUGGCUUGCUUUCGAUACGGGCAAACUAGAGUAUUGCAGGGGAGACUGGAAUUCCUGGUGUAGCGGUGAAAUGCGCAGAUAUCAGGAGGAACACCGGUGGCGAAGGCGGGUCUCUGGGCAAUAACUGACGCUGAGGAGCGAAAGCGUGGGGAGCGAACAGG